rnacentral:misc_RNA from 1 species
ACAGAAUUCACUUUUGUACUUGAAGAAGGAGUAGCAGAUAUGAAAUUUUCUCGAGCAGCUGUCUUUGUUUUAUUUUUGAUGGCUCUGAUCUUCACCCUUUCUUUCUCUGAACCGAUAAGUUGUUGGUCUCUUCUAUCAAUGAGAUGGAGACUGUUCUCUUGGUCAACCUUGGACAUGGAAGAACGCAUUCCUAAAGGCACUUGCUGUGAUACACCAUCAGCUUUUCCAGUUCCAGUAGUUCCUGGAGUAGCUCCAGGUCUGAAGCUAUGGGUAUCACCAAACCGCAAGCGGCCAUCAGCUAUAAGACGGGACGGCAAUCCUUGCUUUGGUUCCCUUUCCAUAGGUUUUGCUGUCGACGAGCUUCCAGUAGUAUCUGGCUUUAUUCCAGAUCGCUUCUUUUUCAUCUUAGACUUCUCCCAGCCUUCUACAGCAAUAGAUGAUGUCCGGUCCUCUCCAUGA